CCACAAAACUUGGUGAGGUUAACACAUCGCGGAGGUGGGUGGUGUGUGCCACCUAAUCGGCUUCCCUUCUCGAUGAGCAUUGACAUGGGAAACCUAACAAUGUGGUGGCUCCCUUAAACGUCUAAAACUCUCUCUCUCUCUCUCUCUCUCUCUCUCUCUCUCUCUCUCUCUCUCUCUCUCUCUCCAAAUUCAAUAUUCAAACUUCAAACUUCAAAUAUAACAGCUACUUAGUCAAGAACUCCAAAACGUGAGACAACUCCCACUUGCAAGACACCAUUCUAUAAAUACCCAAAUCCUCCUGUGAGUUUCUAAAUCAGAACAAACAAAGAAAUCAAAAGAUGGCAUCUGAAUGCACUGGUAAAAACCAAUGGCCGGAGCUGUUGAAUGUAACGGGAGAGGUUGCAAAAACGACGAUUGAGAGAGAGAAUCCAUCAGUAACUGCCUACAUCAUUGAUGAGGAUGCGAUCGUCAUCCAGGACUUUCGCUGUGAUAGGGUUUGGGUUCGGGUUAACACCUAUGGUGUAGUUACGAGGAUUCCAAAAAUUGGGUAGAACUUGUAACAUGGUAUUGAAAGACUCGUAUGAACUAUUGUAUUAAUAUUUGAAAAGGAUGACCUCACAUGAGGCUUCUACACUCAUGUAUGCUUUAUAAAUAAAAUUCUUCUAUUCUUCUUUA